AGAGCGGCCCCGCCUUCCUCGGGUGGCCGGGUUGGGAGAAGCCCCGGCGGAGCCCCGCGGCGGGGAAAGACGAGGCGGCGAGGACGCGUGGCGGCGGCGGCCUCCUUGUCGGCCGCGCGUUCCCCCACCCACGUGGGUGCCUGGGACCCUCGCUUGUUGGCGCGGCUGCCCUUCCGCCGCCACCCAGCCUCCGGCCGCCUGAUACGGGGCCAGGCGCGGAGUCGCCCCGAAGCUUCCACAUUGAGCAUGGAACCCAACCCAUUCUGCUCUAAUGGAGCCGACCCCGUUGGAGUCAAACGCGGAGGUUCUGACUGGGGCAGGUCUUGCAGUUAAGAACUUGGACUCUGGAAUCGGAAAACCUGGCCCCAGAGCCCACGACCGCUGCUUAUGAUCUAGUAGCUUCCGGCAAAGUCCUGAACCUCUCGUGGUCUACUGGCCACGGAGAGAUGGCCAGUGGUCAUCUGGAUGUGCUGGUAGAAAGGUCCACAGAAAGAGCUGGGCAGAGCUACACAGAUCCAGAAUCCGCAGCAAGGUAAAAUCGUGAAUACAGGAAACAGGCCAAGAGUGAGGAACUAACUAACUUGCCAAGUCACGGACUGAGUAAGCGAUUUGAAUCUUUGAAUCGAGGUGCGUUUGACUCUUGUCUCCUAAAAUAGGACUAGAUCGAGGGGAGAGAGGGCAUUCCAGGUAAACUGUGCAGCCGGAAAGCAGCUCCAGCGUGAAGUUAAGUGCUUGUGUGGGACGAGGGGGUAACUGGACUAGGGGAGCAACUCGGCUCUGCUCCCUAGAAACCUCGCCCACCCGCCGCCUAUGUUUCACCGUUGAGAAGAACUUCUCUCCCGGCAAGCUCUGCAAAUUCCAUCUCCCGGCUCUCAAUGGGGAGAGAUUAGGCAUCAUUUCAGAUCUGGCCUCCAGAGGGGAUGUGGGGGUGCUUGUGAUCCUGUUUCCUGUUGAGCAACAGUUGAUGGGCUCGCUCGGAAGGGUGUGUGUCAAAACCUGGGCACCCCUGCCUGGAGGCACAAGGUAUCCAGGAAGGGUGAACGUCAUUCCCUGGGACCCCUAGGUCUAAUGCCCAACAAGACUUGAGGGUUCUGGGAUGGGUCCUGGCAGCCCUAAGUCCCUGCCUGGUGCUCUGGGGAUUUGUUUGGGGGCCAGGCUCCUCCGAAGGCCAGUUGUGCCUCAAACCUGCACGUCACCCCGUCUUGGAGGGGACCUCUCUGCAGUCCCCCAACCUGUUUCCCUUUGAUCUUUGGCUCUCAGGCAGUGGACAGACUAGAGAGAAUGUGCUCUGGGCCCUGGGGGAGGAAGGAAUGUAGGGAGGGCCAGAGGAGGAGAUCAGAGAAGAUGCCAGAUGCCCAGGGAGACCCCCAGCCCCCAACCCAGGGCAUAUUGGGAGGCUGGAGAAUGGAAAAGAUGGCCUUCCGCGUUUCCGGGGAUCAGAGCCUGCUGAACUUGAUCAAAAUAGUUCAGUCAAUCCCCUGCAACCCACCAGCCCGUCCACGCACGAGAAGUGCCCGAGGGUGCAGAUUCCAGCACAGUGCAGCCGUGGGGACAGGGAGGGGGACCCUGGACGUGGCAGACCCUCAGUCCACUGGGGAAACUUUCCAGGAUGUGGGGGGUCAGAGAGGUCACAGGGGACGGGAAGGCAGGAGGAAGCCCGGAUACAAAGGCCAAUGGCCCAGACAGGUGGAGAGCGGGUGUGUGUGUGUAUGUUUUGGGGGGGGGGGGGUCUAAGGACUCAUAGAAGCCAGGGAAUCAGCACAGGAAGGGAUAAUGGCAGUAUUGUUGCAAGAGAACCCAGGGUCCUGCUCCCCAGAGCCUCCUGAUUCUGGAUUGAGGCCCCAGGAUGAGAACCCGAGCAGCAGAGAGGCUUUGGGGGUUGCCGGCUCUUCCAGCAAGAAAACUGGAAGGUGGUGACUCACCCCCGCCCCCCAACCCUCCAACCCCCCACAGCCCAAGGGCCACAGCGGACAUUCCAGACCCAGCACCACAGCCAGGCCAGGGUGACUCAGAGGGCUGGUUGUAGCCUCCCUGCCAGGGACUCCGCCUCAGAAGUCGACUGGGGCUUCAAGCUCAUCGGCUGACUCAGAAAGCAGAUAUCCCUCUCUGAUCUCUCUUACACCAGGUGGCAGAUUUAUACUUCCUCUCCUGCAGAGGAGACAGAGACGCAAGCUUUGCUGAGCCAUCUGCUCUGCGCCUUGCCUCCCCAGUCACCUCUCGAGCCCGGUCGUGGGCCCAAACGUGUGUGUGCACGCCAGCCCCGGUACCACUCCGGUCAAGAUGGGUCCUUUGCCGGAGGAAUCUUCGAGAAAGAAGAUACUUGGUCCAGGAGAUCGUAAUACCCUGGCAUGAUGACAGAUAGGUUAACCACCCUUACGGCGGCGAGCGAUUUUUAAUGGAUUAUAAUUGUCAGGUCACUAUGCCAUACACCCCAGGCCAAUGUCUGAA